rnacentral:tRNA from 1 species
GGUGACGUGGGUGAGCGGCUGAAACCACCAGUUUGCUAAACUGGGAUACUCUUAACGGGGCAUCUCGAGUUCGAGCACGAAGUACACGACCGCACGGGAGUAAUCCCGCGUCAUCG